AUUGAACGCUGGCGGCGUGCUUAACACAUGCAAGUCGUGCGGUAACAGGCGUAGCAAUACGUGCUGACGAGCGGCGAACGGGUGCGUAAUACAUGGGAAUCUGCCCUUUAGUGGGGAAUAACCCGGCGAAAGCCGGGCUAAUGCCGCAUAAGAUCUUCGGAUGAAAGCGGGGGAGUCGUAAGACCUCGCGCUGAUGGAUGAGCCCACUGUCGGAUUAGCAGUUGGUGAGGUAACGGCUCACCAAGGCGACGAUCCGUAGCUGGUCGUGA
rnacentral:rRNA from 1 species